AGUAAAUAGAUACCCGGGUAGUCCCAGCCGUAAACGAUGCUCGCUAGGUGUCAGGCAUGGCGCGACCGUGUCUGGUGCCGCAGGGAAGCCGUGAAGCGAGCCACCUGGGAAGUACGGCCGCAAGGCUGAAACUUAAAGGAAUUGGCGGGGGAGCACAACAACGGGUGGAGCCUGCGGUUUAAUUGGACUCAACGCCGGACAACUCACCGGGGGCGACAGCAAUAUGUAGGCCAGGCUGAAGACCUUGCCUGAAUCGCUGAGAGGAGGUGCAUGGCCGCCGCCAGUUCGUACUGUGAAGCAUCCUGUUAAGUCAGGCAACGAGCGAGACCCGUGCCCACUGUUACCAGCAUAUUCUCCGGAAUGAUGGGUACUCUGUGGGGACCGCCGAUGUUAAAUCGGAGGAAGGUGCGGGCCACGGUAGGUCAGUAUGCCCCGAAUCUCCGGGCUACACGCGGGCUACAAUGGAUGGGACAAUGGGUCCCUACCCUGAAAAGGGCUGGUAAUCUCACAAACCCAUUCGUAGUUCGGAUCGAGGGCUGUAAC
rnacentral:rRNA from 1 species